GCCGGCAGCUAGCACUCUGCAACUCUCACAUGGUCGCCCACUGAAGCUAAGCAGGGCUGCGCCCGGUCAGUACCUGGAUGGGAGACCACAUGGGAACGCUAGGUUGCUGCCGGAA
rfam:Danio rerio chromosome 3, GRCz11 reference primary assembly.